rnacentral:tRNA from 1 species
AGAGUAAAAAGCGAAUUAUUGCGUUCAGUUUCGGCCUGAAGUAUGAUGAAAAUCUUUA